rnacentral:RNase_P_RNA from 1 species
GGGUAGAGCCUCCACUACGCCCCGGGAGAGAUCAGAUCUCUCCGGGGCGAGGAAACACCGCACACCCCGUAGAACCAUGGCCCCGUGAAGGGGCACGGCGAAUAGCCGUGGCUCCGGCACAGAAACGACACGGCCACCACACAGAUGGCGAUGAGACGGUGUGGGGUCUCCGGUGACGGGGGCCCGGUAACCCGUCGAGGACGGUGGUGGAUGCGUUGAAACGGCCGGUCCCAUGGGGUGCAAGGCCCCUGAAUUGUUUAGGGGGGAUGAGGUCUACGCGAUCCCCGGUGGGGGCCGCUUAGUCUAAUGUGGAGGUAUUUACAGAAUGCGGGUUAUGCUCUAUCC